rnacentral:rRNA from 1 species
CCUACGGGAGGCAGCAGUGAGGAAUAUUGGUCAAUGGGCGCGAGCCUGAACCAGCCAAGUCGCGUGAGGGAAGACGGUCCUAUGGAUUGUAAACCUCUUUUGUCGGGGAGCAAAAGACGCCACGCGUGGCGUUCCGAGAGUACCCGAAGAACAAGCAUCGGCUAACUCCGUGCCAGCAGCCGCGGUAAUCCGGAGGAUGCGAGCGUUAUCCGGAUUUAUUGGGUUUAAAGGGUGCGCAGGCGGAAGAUCAAGUCAGCGGUAAAAUUGUGAGGCUCAACCUCUUCGAGCCGUUGAAACUGGUGUUCUUGAGUGAGUGAGAAGUAGGCGGAAUGCGUGGUGUAGCGGUGAAAUGCAUAGAUAUCACGCAGAACUCCGAUUGCGAAGGCAGCAUACCGGCGCUCAACUGACGCUCAUGCACGAAAGUGUGGGUAUCGAAUAGGAUUAGAUACCCCAGUAGUC